CAAAAUCUGUUACAGCAAAUUCACACACCUUCUCUUCUCUUGGCGUCUAUUUAUUCUUCGAGUUACUUGAAUCCUAAACCCAGUUAUAGAAUUCCUAUAAACAAGUAAUGUGCGAUGAAAAGUGAACUCAAGUUUUCAGAGUCACCUCAAUAGUCAGGAACAAAAAGUGUGUUUGUGUUGGAUCGAAAAGCUUAUAAAACGCACAUGUCGCGUUCUCGAACAUAAAUCACAGUGAAAUAAUUUAGCCACAAAAAGCCAAAAGCCAUAAUUCAAAGUCGCUGCCACGGCUGACGUGUAUUGUAUAACCCUGUAAUAUUUGCAUUGUGUUGGCCCAUUCUGUGGCCGCGUGGACUUCAGGCAGCGGUAAUGUGUCCGCGGCAAAUCUCUCCCCAAGGAGCGACGAAAUAAAUGCUCAUUAUUGAGUCCCACAAGAACUCCCAGGCACAGAGAAUUGGAAAAAGCAAAGCGAUUUAUUAGCACGGCCCACUGGCACGUUCGCUGGGCAAACACGGCUUCAUCAGGGGCCGCUCCGUCCUUUCAGCGUCCUAAUUUGUCCCACGUGGAUUAUCAUCCGCCCCGCGGCGGCUGCUGUGGCUCCAAAAUGACAGAUGUCGAGAGCUCGCUCGCAGAUUUCUGCCUGUGUGUCUCACAGACACGCGCUUGUGCCGCUUGCCUGCGGACGUGUGGUUACUAAUACGGCCAGUGUUGCCAGUUAUACGACAAUUGUCGUAUUUAUGCGACAGUUUUGGGUUCUGCACGAUCUUUGGACACUGCCGUUCAUCAUAUUUUAAUGUCGUUUUAGUUGACGCGCGCGUCACCAGAAACUGUUUUGACCUCACCUGGUUGGCUCCUCCCCUCUGUCAAUCACAGCAGCAGCGCUGCUGAUUGGUUCAAUUAGCUGCUCGCGUUGGUUUGCACAGUUGCACCGUUCGUCCAGCAUCGCGACCAAAGCGAAAAAGGUGCAAAACGUGAGGUCAGAACCGAAACUACUAAAGGAAAACACUCUGUACGAGUUGGCUUUUUUUUAGACCCGGGAGGUGGUACCACACAGCAACGCAGCGCCGCUGAAACAAGGCCAUUCAUUACAGCCAUUCUAUCUGUGGCACUAGAACCUGCAGCCAUGGUCCAACCGCUGUAUGACAGUCUGACGCCACCUGCCUCGCCGUGUGACGUCACAGCCGCUGCCUAUGAGCACGCCUCCAUCAGGUGCAGGAGCCUCGUCCGGAGUCGCACGCUGUGCGUUGAGGAGAAGGAACAACAUGCAGCAACAACCGCCAUUCGUGUGUCACUGCAGAUGAGUCGCUGCUGGGGUUCUUCAGCGAAUCGUUCCCCCCGAUAGCGGGUGGGGGUUCAAAUCCGUAGCGUAUUCUUAUUUUUGCUGUUUCUUCACCUCGACCGUUUUCACAACCCUUUAACAAAUGGCUGCCUUUGCUGUGAGCCUGGAGACAGAUUCAGAGCAGCCUGCUGCAGCGAGGCUGGAUAACAUCAGCCUCCUAUAAACAAAACAAAACAAAACAAAACAGGUAGAUAGGCACCAGGCAACAAACAAGCUGCUCUCAGAUUAUCUACUGCUGCACCAGACCAAAAUCAUAAUGCUCUUGUCUCUAGCUAUCUUUAUAGCUUCAUGCUCUUUAAGUAAGUGAGUCUGAGAGUCUCAGGCAUUUCCUCUGUACCGGGGAAUUAUCACAACAAAGCUGUGGGUCGGGUUGGACACACUGAGGAA
rnacentral:lncRNA from 1 species